rnacentral:rRNA from 1 species
UACAGAGGGUGCAAACGUUGCUCGGAAUCAUUGGGCGUAAAGCGCACGUAGGCGGCCCAGCAAGCGGGGUGUGAAAGCCCUCGGCUUAACCGAGGAAGUGCUUUCCGAACUACUGGGCUUGAAUACUGGAGAGGGUCGCGGAAUUCCCGGUGUAGAGGUGAAAUUCGUAGAUAUCGGGAGGAACACCAGUGGCGAAGGCGGCGACCUGGACAGAUAUUGACGCUGAGGUGCGAAAGCGUGGGGAGCAAACAGG